UUGGACUGUGGCAGGAAGCCGGACUACAAGGAAAGAACCCACGCAAACACAGGAAGAACAUGCAAACUCCACACAGAGCGACGGUAGAGCUGAACUCAAGACCUUCUUCCUGUGUGGUAACGGUGCUAACCACUGUGCCGCCCGCGUAAGAGGAGAGCCACUGAGGGAACGCCUUCCGCCCUCCGACGCCUCCACCGUGACCUCCACUUCUGAGAGGAAUUGCCCACAGAUCAAGCAUGGAGUGUGCCUGAAUGGACAUACAGAACUCCAAGGUUCGGCCCAGUGUUGAGGGUUUUCCCAAAGGAGAGGGCCCGGCGGGCGGUGCCUCACAGCCCUCUGCCUCUGGGAGUGGCCCCUUUCUACUAAGGAGGCAAGAGGUGGCCAGGAGUCUGUCAGCGAGUUCUGCAUGUCCUGGUGACCCUCCACCUGUUUCACAGGUCGUUGGACUGUGGCAGGAAGCCGGACUACAAGGAAAGAACCC